UACGUAGGGGGCAAGCGUUGUCCGGAUUUAUUGGGCGUAAAGAGCGUGUAGGCGGCCAAGCAGGUCCGCUGUGAAAACUCGAGGCUCAACCUCGAGACGUCGGUGGAAACCGUUUGGCUAGAGUCCGGAAGAGGAGAGUGGAAUUCCCGGUGUAGCGGUGAAAUGCGCAGAUAUCGGGAGGAACACCGGUGGCGAAGGCG
rnacentral:rRNA from 1 species